UCUCUCAUAGCUCAACAGGCAGAGCGCACGGCUGUUAACCGUGAUGUCCUGGUUCGAACCCAGGUGAGAGAG
rnacentral:tRNA from 1 species